rnacentral:tRNA from 1 species
UAUAUAUUAAUGUAAAAGCAUAAAAGACUUUGACUCUUUCAGAUUUAGUUAAAUCUAUUAUAUAUAA